rnacentral:lncRNA from 1 species
CCCAGUCUGUGCCCCAUAAAAAUUAAUCUACUCAACUUCUAGGGUGGGGAAUGUGUGGAAAUAAAAUGAAGCGGGAAUCUUUUGGGCCUUUACUCCACCCAGGCUGGCACCCCGAGGGAGCGUGCGUGCUCAGCCUCCCAGUAAUCCAGCUUUAGAGGGAAAAAGAAGGCUUUUCUCAGUGGAAAAACCUACCUGUGGCCGUAAUGAUUUAGUAGAUGCCAGUCUAACCUGAAAUAAUAAAUACCAUUAUGAUGUCACUGUCUCACUGCUCAUUUUUAGAGACUCUGGACCUUUCUUCCAAAAACACGAGCUUAUGAAUAGGACUCUGUGGUGCCUGACGUGUCGUUCAUGGGUCAGCACAGGCGUGGUAGCUGGGCUGCAGGACAGGCUUAGGAGACCCUCCCAGCAUGGAUGGCGGUAGCUCGUGGGCAAUCUUGCCCCUGAACUAACCCAGCUCAGACUUCAAGUGCCAGAUUGAUCUGAAACUCAGUCUCGCCUCAGCUAGCUGCAGAACAGCCUCCAGAGCCUGCCUGGACACAGUCUAGAAGGAAAAGUUCCCUCUGUCCCUGACUGCCUGGCACACCUUAAAAUCAUUUCAUUUUGCUUUCACCUCUCUUUUUCUGAAAGUCAAAACGUUACAUUCAUGUGUUUCAUGGAAAACAGCUAAGGAUAAAAUACAAAAGCCACACUUCUGUUACACAAUUUCCACUUUCAAAGAAACAUAUAUUUUGGAUCACAAGAACAGGAGGAGUGAAAAAUGCUGGAGAGAGAGGCAUUUAUCACUAUAAACUUCCCUCUUAGAACUGCUUCUGCUGUAUCCCGCGAGUUUUGGUGCGUUGUAUUUCCAUUGUUCAAGUGAAUGUGUCUCCCACCACGUCCCUUGGUAGACAGUGCUGCUCCCAGACCCCAGCUGAGAGGAGAUGGAACUGCGUCACUGGCUGCUUCACCAUCCACAGCCUGGACUGAGCUGGGUGGGCCUGCUACUGGAAGUACAGGUGGGCAUGGCUCUUCCCACAUCCCUGGCUUGGCAGAUGGUGCCAGUUGCAGGAUCAAGCUCUGCCCACCAUUGAGCAGCCCAGGCAUCAUGGAGCCUCAGUACUCUUCCUUCGGGCCACAUGGCGCACUCCUUGGCUAGACCAUUCGUCAACCGCACCCGAGGUUUUCUAAAGUUCCUAGAUUGAGACCAGACCUUCUCAAGGAUCUUCCAAUCUUAUCUGCCCCCAUUUCAGGGGCUCUCUUGCA